rnacentral:rRNA from 1 species
GACGAACGCUGGCGGCGUGCCUAAUACAUGCAAGUAGAACGCUGAAGGAGGAGCUUGCUUCUCUGGAUGAGUUGCGCACGGGUGAGUAACGCGUAGGUAACCUGCCUGGUAGCGGGGGAUAACUAUUGGAAACGAUAGCUAAUACCGCAUAAUAGUAGAUGUUGCAUGACAUUUGCUUAAAAGGUGCAAUUGCAUCACUACCAGAUGGACCUGCGUUGUAUUAGCUAGUUGGUGGGGUAACGGCUCACCAAGGCGACGAUACAUAGCCGGCCUUGUAGGGGGGUCGGCCACACUGGGACUGAGACAAGGCCCAGACUCCUACGGGAGGCAGCAGUAGGGAAUCUUCGGCAAUGGACGGAAGGCUGACCGAGCAACGCCGCGGGAGGGAAGAAGGUUUUCGGAUCGUAAAGCUCUGUUGUAAGAGAAGAACGAGUGUGAGAGGGGAAAGUUCACACUGUGACGGUAUCUAACCAGAAAGGGACGGCUAACUACGUG